rnacentral:rRNA from 1 species
UACGUAGGGAGCAAGCGUUGUUCGGAAUUACUGGGCGUAAAGCGUGCGUAGGUGGUUCGUUAAGUCUGAUGUGAAAGCCCUGGGCUCAACCUGGGAAUGGCAUUGGAUACUGGCGAUCUAGAGUGCGGUAGAGGGCAGUGGAAUUCCCGGUGUAGCAGUGAAAUGCGUAGAGAUCGGGAGGAACAUCUGUGGCGAAGGCGACUGCCUGGACCAGCACUGACACUGAGGCACGAAAGCGUGGGGAGCAAACAGG